AGCUUUGUGCAGUGGCAGCAUCGUAGCCAAUUAGGUUUAACUGAGGUGCCAUUAAUGCUAAUUGAAAACUAAUUAUUCCCUUAAUUUUCAGAAAAAGCUCCCUCUGUCCCCCACUCUCAUAUAUAUAUAUAUAUA